rnacentral:rRNA from 1 species
AACGAACGCUGGCGGCAUGCCUAACACAUGCAAGUCGAACGAGACCUUCGGGUCUAGUGGCGCACGGGUGCGUAACGCGUGGGAACCUGCCCUUAGGUUCGGAAUAACUCCCCGAAAGGGGUGCUAAUACCGGAUAAUGUCUUCGGACCAAAGAUUUAUCGCCUUUGGAUGGGCCCGAGUUGGAUUAGCUAGUUGGUAGGGUAAAAGCCUACCAAGGCGACGAUCCAUAGCUGGUCUGAGAGGAUGAUCAGACACACUGGGACUGAGACACGGCCCAGACUCCUAAGGGAGGAAGCAGUGGGAAAUAUUGGAGAAUGGGCGAAAGCGUGAUCCAGCAAUGCCGCGUGAGUGCUGAAGGCCUUAGGGUUGUAACGCUCUUUUACCCGGGAUGAUAAUGACAGUAACGGGAGAAUAAGCUACGGCUAACUCCGUG